UACGAAGGGGGCUAGCGUUGCUCGGAAUCACUGGGCGUAAAGCGCACGUAGGCGGCUUCUCAAGUCAGGGGUGAAAUCCUGGAGCUCAACUCCAGAACUGCCUUUGAUACUGAGGGGCUCGAGUCCGGGAGAGGUGAGUGGAACUGCGAGUGUAGAGGUGAAAUUCGUAGAUAUUCGCAAGAACACCAGUGGCGAAGGCGGCUCACUGGUCCAUUACUGACGCUGAGGUGCGAAAGCGUGGGGAGCAAACAGGG
rnacentral:rRNA from 1 species